rnacentral:rRNA from 1 species
CCUUCCGUAGGUGAACCUGCGGAAGGAUCAUUACCGAGUGAGGGCCCUUUGGGUCCAACCUCCCACCCGUGUUUAUUUACCUCGUUGCUUCGGCGGGCCCGCCUUAACUGGCCGCCGGGGGGCUCACGCCCCCGGGCCCGCGCCCGCCGAAGACACCCCCGAACUCUGCCUGAAGAUUGUCGUCUGAGUGAAAAUAUAAAUUAUUUAAAACUUUCAACAACGGAUCUCUUGGUUCCGGCAUCGAUGAAGAACGCAGCGAAAUGCGAUACGUAAUGUGAAUUGCAAAUUCAGUGAAUCAUCGAGUCUUUGAACGCACAUUGCGCCCCCUGGUAUUCCGGGGGGCAUGCCUGUCCGAGCGUCAUUGCUGCCCUCAAGCCCGGCUUGUGUGUUGGGCCCCGUCCUCCGAUUCCGGGGGACGGGCCCGAAAGGCAGCGGCGGCACCGCGUCCGGUCCUCGAGCGUAUGGGGCUUUGUCACCCGCUCUGUAGGCCCGGCCGGCGCUUGCCGAUCAACCCAAAUUUUUAUCCAGGUUGACCUCGGAUCAGGUAGGA